CCGGCUACCUGAAUCGUCGCGCCCGUUGUGCCAACGCUAUGCGGGUGAGGAAAGUCCGGGCUCCCCAGGGUAAGGGCGCCGGGUAACACCCGGUGAAGGCAACUUCAAGGAAAGUGCAACAGAAAAUAACCGCCGUUUUACGGUAAGGAUGAAAAGGUGCGGCAAGAGCGCACCGGGGAUCCGGCGACGGAUCCCGUCUGUGUAAACCCCGUCCGGAGCAACACCGCGGCCGACAAGCAUUUGACCCGAAUGUCGAUGGAGGUGGCUCGAACCGCGUCGCGAGAUGCGGUCCAGAUAGAUGACGAUUCCAGACAGAACCCGGCUUACAGGGUAACCGGAAAC
rnacentral:RNase_P_RNA from 1 species